UGAGGAAUACAUCGGAAUCUACUCUGUCGUGGGGGAUAACGUAGGGAAACUUACGCUAAUACCGCAUACGACCUACGGGUGAAAGCAGGGGACCUUCGGGCCUUGCGCGAUUGAAUGAGCCGAUGUCGGAUUAGCUAGUUGGCGGGGUAAAGGCCCACCAAGGCGACGAUCCGUAGCUGGUCUGAGAGGAUGAUCAGCCACACUGGAACUGAGACACGGUCCAGACUCCUACGGGAGGCAGCAGUGGGGAAUAUUGGACAAUGGGCGCAAGCCUGAUCCAGCCAUACCGCGUGGGUGAAGAAGGCCUUCGGGUUGUAAAGCCCUUUUGUUGGGAAAGAAAUCCAGCUGGCUAAUACCCGGUUGGGAUGACGGUACCCAAAGAAUAAGCACCGGCUAACUUCGUGCCAGCAGCCGCGGUAAUACGAAGGGUGCAAGCGUUACUCGGAAUUACUGGGCGUAAAGCG
rnacentral:rRNA from 2 species